UCUCACAAUUGCCCUAACACAUUCAGAUCAAAUAACCCUAAGCCCACACACGAAGCGACGAUUGCUCUCUAAGCCCUCCAGAUCAGAUAACCCUAACCUUGUCUUCAUUGUGCCUCACGAAGAAUCCCCUAACUACGAUGAGGAACAUCAGAUCGAAGAACCCCUAACCUCUCUUCAUUGUGCACUCCCCGAAGAAUGUUGCCGGCGCGCACGAUACCUCCGUCGGCAAUCCCUCUUCUGGCCCGUAACCCUCCUUUAAGUUUCUUCUCUCUUCUCUCGACACUGUCUCCCUCAAGCUCACUGUGGCUCACCUCUCUCAUGGCUGGUCUCGCCGUCGACCCCUCUUUCUCUGGUUUCACGCUUCUCUCGCACCCGUUUUGGACUCAAGCUCGUCGCGCUCUGUCACCACUGUCGCAAGCUCUGUCACGCUCUGUCACCAUUGCAAGCUUGUCUUCUUGCAUCGGCCGACAACGCUUCCUUUUAUCAUGAGUUGGUCCUAGGUAGGUUGGUAAAUUAGGAACUGGGAGGAUGAAAUUGAGUUAGAUGGAGAAGUGAUUGAAUUGAGUUACCGCGGCUCGUAUCCCUGGUGGCAAUUGCUGAGAGGAAGUGUAGAGAGAAGCUCAGCCAGAGCUUCAUUUCUUUAUCUGCCCUUGUUCCUGGUGUUCACUACUAUGGCAUUCAUCUUGUUCGCUGAAGAGAAUGUUGACAUUGCUGUUGUUGAGGCUGGUUUAGGGGGUGCUCGGGAUGCAAUGAAUGUUAUAUCCAGCUCUGGCCUUGCUACCUCAGUUAUAACCACCGUCAGGGAAGAACAUUUAGCAGCUCUUGGUGGUUCAUUGGAAACUAUUGCAGUGGCAAAGACAGGAUUCAUAAAACAAAACCGCCCAGUUAGGUGUUUCUCUCCAUGAUCUUAUUUUCUCAAUAAUAAAACUAUCGUUUGUUUAAUCCUUGCAUUCUAUACGUAAAAUAGACCAAAAAUAGUUAUUGAUAUGAAAUAUCCUUUCAUUUAUGUCUUAAUUUAAAGCAUAAUAACAUUUUUUGAGAGAAAAAUACCCUAAAAUGUCUGCAAAGUGGCAAAACAGGGAUCUUAUAUUGCUGUGACAGCUAAAUAGGAUUUCCUUUUUCUCGGAUGGAUUGGACCUAUCUUCUAUGGAUUUAGAUUUGUGUUAAUGUAUAAAUUCUAAAAUUUUAUUCUUCAUACAUAAACACCAAAGCGAAAUAAAACUUUUCUCUAUAUUCUUGGUACAGAGAUAUUUAUCUUUUACAAUUUUAUUACCAUUAUGGACAAUAUUGUUUAUCUUUUCUCUAUAUUCAUGGUAUGCCAAUGGCUGCACUAAUUUACUAAUGCACUAAUUUACUAAUUUACUAAUUUCAUGAUAUGGUGGUGUUCAGAACCUUUGUGAUAAAGAUUUUUAGAGUUUGAUCCUUAUUGCCCUAAUCCUAAAAUUGUAUUUUAGCACAAUAUAUGGGUAGACCUCUGUAUUGUCCAUGCAAUAAGCCCAAGAUAAUUGGUUGCGAGGGGCAUGCAUAUUAGAUGCCUCUACUAAACAACUUAAGUUUUUGGAAAAGUUGCUUCAAUGAUAAAUUUUACUAGUUUGAAUGAAUUGAUAUAGGUAUUUGAUUAUAGGCUUAAUGUAUCUAAUGACGAUGCUCUAAUUCUGAUAGAUUGUAGGUGCAGAAAAUCCAGUUUUAAUGUCUGCAGCUGAGCAGAUAUUUAGCGCCGUUGGGAAGAGGAUGAGACCAGCUCUGGUGUUCAUGGUGUCAUGGGCUACAGCAGAGCUACUUGGCUUGAAAUAAGAGCUAACCUAAAUGAGCAUUUUGGUUCCUGCCGGGAGAUCUCGAGGGUGUCAGUCCCAAAAGAUUUCGAGUCUGGAGGUCCUAAAUGUUUUGCCUACAUCGACUUCAAGGAUUCUUCUAGCAUGAAGAGAGCUCUAGAACUCAAAUGAAACUGAACUUGCUGUAUUUAACAGGUUAUGGUGGUCGAUGCUGAGGCAUACACCUAUGAUGAUGAGGUCAUCAAGAAAGCUGAAGCAAUGGGGAAGCCCGAAAAUCCUGAAGAAGAAGCUAUUGUGGAAACUACUAGAGCCAUAAAACAUCAUCAAGAAAGUUGAAGCAAUGGGGAAGCCCGAAAAUCCUAAAGAAGAAGCUACUGUGGAAACUACCAGAGCCAUAAAAGCUUCUCAGUUGUUGCUAAAUGCAAUUGAAAUACUGAAGACGAAGCUGGAUGCAUGCUGUACGUCUAUGAGCACAUAGUGGAGGCUGAUGAUUAGUUUGGUAAAUUGGGUGCACAUAUGUGAGGAGGUUGAUCAAAAUUAUUGUUAGAUAGGAUGGCAAAGUUAUUGGAAUUGUAAUUUAUGUAUUAGGAAUACAUUGCGUAGUUAUCAUUUUUAUUUUUGAUAUUUUGUUAUACUGUCAUGUGAUUAAACAUUUUUUUGACAAGUUUAUAUAUGUUGGAUUAGUGGAUUUAAAAUUA